rnacentral:rRNA from 1 species
AGAGUUUGAUCCUGGCUCAGAGCGAACGCUGGCGGCAGGCCUAACACAUGCAAGUCGAACGAACUCUUCGGAGUUAGUGGCGGACGGGUGAGUAACACGUGGGAACGUGCCUUUAGGUUCGGAAUAACUCAGGGAAACUUGUGCUAAUACCGAAUGUGCCCUUCGGGGGAAAGAUUUAUCGCCUUUAGAGCGGCCCGCGUCUGAUUAGCUAGUUGGUGAGGUAAAGGCUCACCAAGGCGACGAUCAGUAGCUGGUCUGAGAGGAUGAUCAGCCACAUUGGGACUGAGACACGGCCCAAACUCCUACGGGAGGCAGCAGUGGGGAAUCUUGCGCAAUGGGCGAAAGCCUGACGCAGCCAUGCCGCGUGAAUGAUGAAGGUCUUAGGAUUGUAAAAUUCUUUCACCGGGG